rnacentral:tRNA from 1 species
GCGCGUGUGGCGGAAUAGGCAGACGCAAGGGACUUAAAAUCCUCGGGAGCGAUCCCGUGCCGGUUCAAGUCCGGCCACGCGCA